GCCUCUCACAAUGCGUCAUGGUCGAAAACCCACCCUUUCCUUUCGUUGCUACGGACUACAGAAUGUGACGCUGUUCUAUCGAGACUGUGUGCAGGUGUGAUGUGCUGCCCAAUCUCAGUGCGCUGUGCCGUCAAGGCUCCCAACUGUGUAGCAUGCUAGUUUAACGUAGCUCCGGUCGGAGCUCCAGCUGUCGUCGUCACAACUAUUAAAGACGCUAUCAUGACUUUCGUAUGUACCAUCGUGAGUAUCAUGUCAUCGGAUCACGGUUAAAAUGUUAGCCAAUCAAUGGGAAAGGCGAGAGGUCAGGGGAGGAGGCAAAUCCUGCGUAAGGAAAAGUCACGCUCUCUUUCGGCUGCAGGCGAGACACGGAGAAGAUCACACUGGAGAACAGUAAAGUGAUUAAUGCUACUUUUCGUGCUUAAGUAAUACUUAAUGGUUGUCAGACCGAUAACCUAUUCACUACUUUGCAUGCGGAAGAAUUCGGUAUCACAUAGAGAAAUUUUCAAAAUGAAUUUGUCGGAAUAGCUCAGCUAAUAGUAUUGCCUGAAAAGUUAGCAACUCGGAAGCUGGGACUGUGUUAGGCUAACUGGCUUCGUCAACCAAUGAGUUGCCUCUGAGGAACAAGACUGUGGGACUAACCGGAGGAAGACGGCCUGCUGUUUGAACUGAUACGCGAACUACAGCAUCGCGUGAGCAACUGCACACACCGAGAGCGCACGAGCAGGGCUGCAGUGACGGUGCAUGGACCCUCUCUGGGCAUGGACAUCCCCAUCAACCUUGUGAGUGAAUUUGUUUGGUUUUGUUGUGCGAUUCGCAUGAAGUGGCCAAUACAGUUUUAAGGCCUCAACGUCCCCAAGCUACGAUUCAGGCCUGCAUCAGGAACAUUGGUGUGUGUGGGGUUUAUAGAAAUUCUGGUGUGCCGGCUUAGGUAGGCUAUUGUUUUGGGCCCAUAGGUUAAAGGGUAUAACUGAAAACUGCUUGUUUUAUGCAUAUACAUGGGGUUAUAUGUAACCUGUUGAUUUAGUAAUGGUAUUGAUUUAAAAACCUCAGAAAAAGGAUACGUUAUACAUUUUACAUAUACAUUUUAGCCUGUGUUGUAUUUGCAAUUGUUUGAUAUCCAUGAGAGCAGAGUAUUUUUCUGAUUUUUUUUAAACAAAAGAUCAAACAGUUAAACAAUAAAGACAAUUUUUCACAGCCUUCUUUGCUCAUAUUUACCAACGGUGCCAAUGUCAGUGGAGGGCACUGUAUAUAAUAUUUGGUGUAAUCAGACUUUGAUAGAAUUGUGUAUUCGUUCAUGGGUGCAUGCUUGCAAAAGCAAGUGUGUGAGUUUUAAUAUCAGCUGUAGAUUGCCAUUUGUAUUACGGCUCAACCUUUAAGAAAAAUAUGUGACUAAUGACAAUGAACAGUUUACAAAUACAAAAGUAACACACAAACUCUGUACAACGGACAAAGCCCUUUUAACUGUAAUAUAAAGUUUCUACAGCUUAUUGAUGUUUUUUCUUUAGCGUUCUUUCUUUCUUGAUUAAGAAAUUACUCUAUAGGUAACAUUUAGCCCAGUGGUGCUCUUUAACACUUGCUGUGUGCUCUUUAACACUUCAUUUAAUGUGUUGCAUGAAACCGCUGACAGCAGAAUGUGCUAAAGCGGAACAGAAAUGCAGAAGGACAGAACAUCUAACCCCAGUUUGUAUAAUAUCUAAUGUCAAACUAUUUGAAAGCUUUUAGGUUAAUAUUAGCUGAAAUCCUCUUAUUGAUCAUUAUUUGCAACCACAUACCAUGG